UACGUAGCUCAGUCAGUAGAACAUGAGACUCUUAAUAUCAAGGUCGUGGGUUCGAGCCCCACGUUGGGCAAAA